rnacentral:tRNA from 10 species
GGCUUCAAACCAGCAGCAGGGAAGAUUCUACAGCGAGUUCAAUCCCAACC